AUUGCGGUAGCCUAGUUGGUACUGGCGUCGGUCGGCAGUACAGAUGCCGAAGGUCGCAGGCUCAAAUCCUGCCUGCGGUG